UCAGACUCAGUCGUAACAAGGUAUCCGUAGAGUUUGAUCCGGGUAAAGACUAAGAAUCUAACUGGGAAUGCGGGAUAACUUCCGGAAACGGGCGCUAAUACCGCAUACGUCCUGAGGGAGAAAGUGGGGGAUCUUCGGACCUCACGCUAUCAGAUGAGCCUAGGUCGGAUUAGCUAGUUGGUGGGGUAAAGGCCUACCGAGGCGACGAUCCGUAACUGGUCUGAGAGGAUGAUCAGUCACACUGAAACUGAGACCCGGUCCUGACUCCUACGGGAGGCUCCUAUGGGGAAUAUUGGACAAUGGGCGAAAGCCUGAUCCAACCAUGCCGCGUGUGUGAAGAAGGUCUUCGGAUUGUAAAGCACUUUAAGUUGGGAGGAAGGGUAGGAAGUUAAUACCUUGCUGUUUUGAGGUUACCACCUGAAUAAGCACCGGCUAACUUCCUGCCAUCACUCGCGGUAAUACGAAGGGUGCAAGCGUUAAUCGGAAUUACUGGGCGUAAAGCGCGCGUAUGUGGUUCACCAAGUUGGAUGUGAAAUCCCCGGGCUCAACCUGGGAACUGCAUCCAAAACUACUGAUCUAGACUACGGUACAUGGUGGUGGAAUUUCCUGUGUAACGGUGAUGUGCGUAGAUAUAGGAAGGAGCACCAUUGACGAACGCGACCACCUGGACUGAUACUGACACUGAUGUGCGAAAGCGUGGGGAGCAAACAGGAUUAUAUACCCUGAUAGUCCACGCCGUAAAUCGAUGUCCGACUAGCCGUUGGGAUCCUUGAUAUCUUAGUGGCGCAGCUAACGCGCAUAAGUCUGACCGCCUGGGGAGUACGGCCGCAAGGUUACAAACUCAAAUGAAUUUGA
rnacentral:rRNA from 1 species